GGGUUCUAGCUGCGAUGUACAGAAGUCUGGUUUCAGCGUCCCAAAGACAUUGUACGGAAACUGCUUUCAGGGGAUCUAGACCUUGGUAUUGUCGACCUUCACACGUUUAGCGAAUAUGGACAUAGUAAAUGAUCUUUGACACAAAAUUGAAUGACAGUAAAGAAUGAACAGUUAGACACGAACAGGAACAGGUGAAAGUGGUGGGGUCGUCGUCGCCGGAAAUGCUUCCAUAGGUGGUGG
rnacentral:lncRNA from 1 species